rnacentral:lncRNA from 1 species
UUGCUGAUUUGAUAUACGGCUGGGAUUGAAUUUAUAUUUAGCUCAGUGAAUGGCCACAACGUACUGUACGUAAUUGGCUGGGAGCUCAGGGCGUCAAUAGGGAAUCUUGCAAGUUUUAGAUGCCUAAAGUCUGUUGAACACUUUUCUUUUAUUUUGAUCCGCCUGUGGAUCCCUUUGCAUACCGUUUGUAAUACUUUGAUAUUCUCAUUCGGUUGUAAUAAAAUUAUCUUUUGCUUCCGCUGUGC